rnacentral:lncRNA from 1 species
ACGAAGGGGGUAAGAUAAGUGGCCGACGCAAGCAGUCCAGGGCUAUCCCAGAUAAGGGCGGAUGACAGGCAAACUAUACAGCAGACAACGAACAAGCUAAUCUCAAGCUUCGAGCGAUCGUAAUGUCGCAGUCUGCAGCUACGCCCUAGAUCGUAUUAACUAGCUCUCAAACACAGCCCAGCUACAUAUGCCCACGGCACCAAGCCGUGCUCACCGUUGGCGACGAUGUAGUCGACCUGGGCGGCGAUCUGCUCGUCGGUCAGAGGAGGCAGGUAGGAGAAGGUCUCGAACAUCCUGCGAUCACGCGAUUGACCAGUACUCGUUAGAAGUGGCAGAGCACGUGCGAUGUGAGGCAGCAGGCUGGGCCCCAAGCAAUUGCGUCGCGACUUGCAGAAUCCCUAUCCUUCGGGCUGCGCUUGCUCGUCGACUCACUUGUUGUUGACCGGGGUCCAGACCAUCAUCUGGUUGGCCUGAGCCGGGGCAGCCACGGGGGCAGCCUUGACGGCGGGCUUCAGCGCGGCCAUGGGGCGCACGCUGGAGCGGGCCGGGCGAGCCACGGCCGCGGAGACGGAGGACUUGGCAAUGACGGCGGCCAUUUUAGAUGUUUGAGAAAGUGGUCGAAUGAACGAGUAAGUUCUUGGGACAAAGACUCGGAGGUGGCCGGUCGCCGUUUUCAAUCCCCGCUCGCCGAUGACCCGUACGGCAGGCUUAUCCGACUCGUCGGCUUUCACGACCGCCCGAGCCUGCGCGCUUCAUCCGCUUCCGGAUAGCUUGCUACGAUAAUGCAUUAUUCAAUUUUACGACGCAAUGUCAUGAGCAGCGCCGGGCGGGCUUAUUUACAUGCGUCGCCUCGCUCGCCGUUGACUUGAUACUUUGGAAAUUCGGGCUCGAUUCGUUGCUACAGCCUGCCUUUUGCACACAAUGUGAACGUCGAUUCUACAUUUGUAUGUGACUGAACUUCGCGGCCCCUACUGAACGUUUCGUGCAAGCGACAUGUCGACUCACAACUUGGAGGAACGCGCGAGGGGUCCCCACACGCACUUUCAGCCUGCUUUGGCGAAAUGGACAUGAUAGGUAUAGCCAGGAUAUGGGUCUGCUAGCUCGCCUGGUGUUUUGACCGUCGAUCGGUUUCGCGUUGGGCCUUGCGGCUGCUCGCUCGCCGCGGAUGCUUCCGCACACUGCGCGGCACGUGUUAGUCUGUGCACGACGACGGUUUGUUUGUAUUGCGCCGCCAACGUUCAACGGUGGUGGUAGGUUCGAAUGUCAGAAUGUCGGGCACGGGGACCUUGGGCGCAUUGCCUACAAGCGCGUGCCUGUGUUUUUGGGGGGCAGAGAAGUGAGCCUGCCUAUUGGGUCACAAUAGCACAGAGGCGGGUGGCCAGCGUCGGGAACUGGUUCAGAACGGCUGCAGGGACAGCACCGUGCGUGCGUGUGUGUGUGGGGGGAGCCUUCAAAGUUGACGAGCUUCGCAGCGCUGGGAUGGACUGGCAUUGCGUGCUUGAGUUUGCGUCCCGUGAGAACCCUGCAGUUUAUGGCGGAGACAGGGAAGAGGGAAUGGGAUCGCGCCGGUGCAGGGAAAGGGCACGAAUCUGAGGUUACGGUAUCUGGGGGGAGGUGCCCAUGUGGGAGGGGAAGCCUAACUGCCUGUCUGGGUGCAGACCAGGAAUGGCAACACGUGAACGGUUAGUAGAGAGCUGUGUGCUGUUGGGCGCUCUCGGCAAGGGGCGUGGGAGGGGGCUGGGUUGGUGGGCGGCUGUCCGCACAGUGCCUAGCAGUGCGCACUCAGGCCCUUCGCAGACCGAAGAGGGCGCCAGGGCCUAUGCGCGCGUGGCUUGGCGUGAGGUUCUUGCUGUUGGCGUCAGGCGCCGCAAAAGGCCGGGUGGCUCUGCAGUGUCCUGCUCGCUUGGCGUGCGGCAAAGUGGUUCAGUCAGCGAGCGCAGUGUAUGCGUGUGUGCGUGUAUGCGUGUGCGUGCGUGUGUGUGUGUGUGUGUGUGUGUGUGUGUGUGUGUGUGUGGUUGCUGCGGAGAGGGCACGCAGCGACACGAGAUUGCCAUGCAGUGGUGCAAGCUGCUGGGGUCGGGUAAACGGGGUGGGAAAGUUGGUGAUGGUGGAAUGUUCUUGUGGCACGAACUGGCCUUGUGCGUAUUCGUUCGCCCCGUUCACUCUGGUCCACCAAUCCCACAGUCACUGCACUUAAAUGCCUAAAAGCCCCUGCUACGGUGCGGACAGGGUAAGGCCACGGCAGGUCUAAGUCCAUAUGCGCCCGUAGAGGUUCGAGUGCGUUAACCGGUCGCAAGGUGUUCACAACAUGUUGAUGUGUUGACAACAUGGCUGUGGUCAAGACGUGCCCUGCGAACUUCCCGUGUUUACAUGUUAAUAGAGCUCGCUGACAGCAGUCAUUUGACACCAUUAUGGAAGAAAACAGAGGGGAUUUAGGGGGUGUACGGCACGGUAUGGCACGGUCGGUCGUCGGUCCGGGGGGUCGGGGGGUUCUGCAGGGUGGGGCCUGGAACUAUUGUUCGUACACCCCCGCCUGGCUCCCCUGCUCCCCCUGACUAACCCCUGACCUCUGGCUUUCUUCGCUUUCCUUUCAGUGUCACCAAUUCUCAUGAGUGGGGGCGCACCCCGAAAUAAGCGGGUACGGUGCUUCAGUUCAGUGCUUGCCACGGCCUCAAGAGCCCCAAACCACGUGCACCGAAAUUCGCUUGCACUCCAAAUGCACUGGGAAGCCAGUAGCAGCGCGCUCUCAAAUGCUGGCAUGUGUCUCUCUCUGUCCAGAGCCUGAAUGCGCCAAGUCUGCUACGGUAGGAGGGUGCAACCCGUGGCCCGCCUUGAACCGCGCUUGCACACACAGCUGGAUUGCUGCUGGCAUGACCGUGUGAAAGAGGUACAGGCAGCCGGGCAAGUCCCAGCGGGCAGGUUGGUGUAGGCUAUGCCCCAUAACAGGCCCGUGCAUGCUGCCACGGACUUCUCGCCAGGAAUGUAAGUCCCGAUGCUAGACAAUUACUCCAGCAGCUGCAUGCCGCCAUCUUCAGUACUCGGUAUCCCUUGGUGCACGCAAGUCAAGGAUCAGUCCCAGGGCUCACCCUGGAGCAAUGCAGCCUGCGUGUGCACCUGCGAUGGAGCCGCGGCCUGCGGUAUUGGCUGCCCGAUUACGAAGCUGCGGGUGGGGGCAGUUGGCACGCAUUCCGCCACAGACCCCGCGAGCCUAGCCGCACCCAAGCUCUAAGCGGCCUAGACCGUGACCAAAGGCGAAGAAGCCGCGGCCAUCCCUGCGCUCAGAUUGCAUUGGUUACAAGAGGGACCUGCUGACGCAGUUCAUGGCUUCAUGCGCUCAGAGCCCGAGCCCUGAGCGGCAGCAAAAGCAGAAGCCACGCUACGUGUGCUAGCUACGACCAAUGCCUUGUACAGCUCUCCUCGGCUGCGCUCUUCGGCUGCGCUCCUCGGCUGCGCGGGACAGGGGACUCCGUGCAACCACUAUUGCUUAUAGCCUGCACCAGUCAUUGACGAGUGUUGCGGAACUAAUGCGUACGUAGACCAGAGCGGAAGGCGGAGUGGGCUUGCAGGCGGCACGAGAGUAGGCAGUCAGUAGCGCAAGUUGCGAAUUCCCAUGUUACCUCGUAACCGACGGUAAACGCUGUGGACGGUCGCGCCCAUGGCUGGCUGACGGAAGCUGGCUGCGGUAUUGGGAUGGCUGGGCUGGAUGACGCCGGCCGGGCUGGCGUUGGGACUACCAGAAAGGAUGCGCCCGAAACCAACCUGGAGAACACCAGCGCCACCGGUGCCCAGCACGACAUGUAAGGGAGGGAGGGAGGGACAGGAGGCGUGAUGCACUGCAGCGUAGAAGCUGCAGUCAUGGGCACAGCUUGUACCAUACAGCACGGUCAUCAAGGACACAAUGCCGGAACGGCAUCAUACGAGGCGGGGUUGGGAGCUGCAGGAAGUGGGCAGCGGGGCAGAAUCAAAGGUUUGCAUCGUUUAGAACAGGUGCGGAACACGCGCCAGCGCCAGCGCGGAGGACCCCAAGUAAGGCCUUUACUCACCAAUGUACGUUUUGUACACCCAAUCUCGCCCCCUAUCGACGUUGGCACUAGGUAGCUGGCUAUCAUUCUAUGCAGAUUAAGCAAAGGGGCACCGGGAACAACUGACUCAUGUUCGUCACUGCAGGUUACUGCAAAUGCUGUCUCCACCUUUGCUGCACGGUUCCGUUUCGUCACGUUUGCUGGUGUUGCUACCCGCCGUUCUUUAGUGUGUAACUGAUCUGCGAACCGAGUCCCCUUCAGCUGAUGAACCCCGCAGCAACUUUUCCAAAAGCGCUUCAAAUACGCCCAGCCCGCCCAUGGAGAAAGAGGCCAAAAUCAACGGAGGAUCGUUACAACCAACAAAAUUGCAAAACUCCUCCGCUUUUUACGUGUUGAAAAAGACUGAUCAGCACGAAACGGGGAGCUAAGCUACCGCUUCAGCACUUGAGAGCAGUAUCUUCCAUCCACCGCCGUUCGUCAGGGGGCAAGGCUCAGAUCAACGAGCGCCUCCAUUUACACGGAGCGCUUGUUGGCGGGCUGCCAGUCGCGGGCAGACUUGGGGCGCUGGACCAGGAAGCCCAUGAUCUGCACCUGCUUCUGGUUGUCGAAGGCCACCAGGCGCACGUAGGCAUCGGGGAAGGCCUUGGUGCAGGCGACGAUCUCGCGCAGCACCUGCAUGGGGUCGCGGCAGCCGAACAUGGGCAGCUUCCACAUGGUCCAGUAGCGGUUGUCGUAGUACAGCUGCGGGCGCACGGGAAAUGGGAGGGAGAAGAGGUUCAGUCACCAGCGCACAGAACCACCAAAGAUGGAAUUGGGCCCCUUGCUUUUCCGUGCUGAAGCACGAGCAGGGGUAUGCGUCAGUUCCCCGCGGUGAGAUAGGCGCUGUCCCGGUGCCAAGCUAACCAGUGCCACAGUGGACCCGUGUGCCAAAAGCUAACCCAGUGCCACAGUGGACCCGUCGGGCUCUCGCCAGACUUAC